rnacentral:rRNA from 1 species
AGCAGUCGCCACGGGGAAUACGAAGGGGGCUAGCGUUGCUCGGAAUGACUGGGCGUAAAGGGCGCGUAGGCGGAUUGCGCAGUCAGAUGUGAAAUUCCUGGGCUUAACCUGGGGGCUGCAUUUGAGACGCGUAGUCUAGAGUGUGAAAGAGGGUCGUGGAAUUCCCAGUGUAGAGGUGAAAUUCGUAGAUAUUGGGAAGAACACCGGUGGCGAAGGCGGCGACCUGGUUCAUAACUGACGCUGAGACGCGAAAGCGUGGGGAGCAAACAGGAUUAGAGACCCGCGUAGUCCCUGUCUCUUAUA